GCAUGCUUACAACAUAGCGUUAAUUCACUAGAUCCCAUUAAAAUCCACAGUUAAGCGUGCUCGAGCUAAAUUAGUACUAGGAUGGGUGACCACCUGAGAAGUAUUAUUAUUUUACAUGCC
rfam:Picea glauca, whole genome shotgun sequence.